rnacentral:rRNA from 1 species
CCUACGGGAGGCAGCAGUAGGGAAUCUUCCACAAUGGGCGAAAGCCUGAUGGAGCAACGCCGCGUGGGUGAAGAAGGUCUUCGGAUCGUAAAACCCUGUUGUUAGAGAAGAAAGUGCGUGAGCGUAACUGUUCACGUUUCGACGGUAUCUAACCAGAAAGCCACGGCUAACUACGUGCCAGCAGCCGCGGUAAUACGUAGGUGGCAAGCGUUAUCCGGAUUUAUUGGGCGUAAAGGGAACGCAGGCGGUCUGUUAAGUCUGAUGUGAAAGCCUUGGGCUUAACCGGAGUAGUGCAUUGGAAACUGGGAGACUUGAGUGCAGAAGAGGAGAGUGGAACGUCAGGUGUAGCGGUGAAAUGCGUAGAUAUAUGGAAGAACACCAGUGGCGAAAGCGGCUCACUGGUCUGUAACUGACGCUGAGGUUCGAAAGCGUGGGUAGCAAACAGGAUGAGAUACCCUAGUAGUC